GAUGAACGCUAGCUACAGGCUUAACACAUGCAAUUCGAGGGGCAGCAUGGUCUUAGCUUGCUAAGACUGAUGGCGACCGGCGCACGGGUGAGUAACACGUAUCCAACCUGCCGUCUACUCUUGGACAGCCUUCUGAAAGGAAGAUUAAUACAAGAUGGCAUCAUGAGUCCGCAUGUUCACAUGAUUAAAGGUAUUCCGGUAGACGAUGGGGAUGCGUUCCAUUAGAUAGUAGGCGGGGUAACGGCCCACCUAGUCUUCGAUGGAUAGGGGUUCUGAGAGGAAGGUCCCCCACAUUGGAACUGAGACACGGUCCAAACUCCUACGGGAGGCAGCAGUGAGGAAUAUUGGUCAAUGGGCGAGAGCCUGAACCAGCCAAGUAGCGUGAAGGAUGACUGCCCUAUGGGUUGUAAACUUCUUUUAUAAAGGAAUAAAGUCGGGUAUGUAUACCCGUUUGCAUGUACUUUAUGAAUAAGGAUCGGCUAACUCCGUGCCAGCAGCCGCGGUAAUACGGAGGAUCCGAGCGUUAUCCGGAUUUAUUGGGUUUAAAGGGAGCGUAGAUGGAUGUUUAAGUCAGUUGUGAAAGUUUGCGGCUCAACCGUAAAAUUGCAGUUGAUACUGGAUAUCUUGAGUGCAGUUGAGGCAGGCGGAAUUCGUGGUGUAGCGGUGAAAUGCUUAGAUAUCACGAAGAACUCCGAUUGCGAAGGCAGCCUGCUAAGCUGCAACUGACAUU
rnacentral:rRNA from 1 species